UUGUUGUAAUCUUUCAAGAUUAUUGGAUUAAGUCCUUUUUGAAGGAGAAAUCACCUUGGUAGGGUGGACUAGAGUAACUUUGAAUUCCAAGCGAACCAGGAUAACUUCUGUGUUGUUUGUCUUUAAGUUAUGUGUAUAGAAACUCCAAAAGUUUUUAUUGUUUGUGAAAACAAUUCAAACCCCCCUUUCUUGUUUUUCUCUACCUUCAAUUGGUAUCAGAGCUUCAGCUCUGUUAUUGAUUUUC
rnacentral:lncRNA from 1 species